UACGAAGGGGGCUAGCGUUGCUCGGAAUCACUGGGAGUAAAGGGGGCGUAGGCGGGUUAUUAAGUCAGAGGUGAAAUCCUGGAGCUCAACUCCAGAACUGCCUUUGAUACUGAUAGUCUUGAGUAUGGGAGAGGUGAGUGGAACUGCGAGUGUAGAGGUGAAAUUCGUAGAUAUUCGCAAGAACACCAGUGGCGAAGGCGGCUCACUGGCCCAUUACUGACGCUGAGGCACGAAAGCGUGGGGAGCAAACAGG
rnacentral:rRNA from 1 species